UGCAUAAGAUUUACAAAAUAUUUACUUUUAAAUAAUUUUAUGCAAAAAAUAAUUGGUAUUUUACAUAAGAUUAAAAAUCAAUAUUUUUGCACAAAAAGUUACAAAUUUUUUUGCAAACUCUGGGAAAAAAAAUUUGAACCCCCAAUCAGAAUUAAUUUCAUAUUUCCAAUCUAAUUAAUUACUCUAAUUUUUUACUUUUCAGUAUAAGAAAUGAUCUACAAUCAACAAAAUUGUAAAAAUACAAUUAAUGAUUUAUUGACAUUACUGAUUAAAUUCAAAAUAGUAAAUCAAUAAAAUUACAAAUAACUCUGCUGAUUAGAAAAUAUUGAAUAAAUUUAUUAAUUAUGAAACGUGACUCACCAGGAAUUCUUUUUGCAACCAAAAAUAUUACUCAACCUAGUUCGAAUUAUAGGUGGUCAAUUCAGCAAAACUUUUAUCUCAAAAUACUUUAGAAAACCUUUUUUGUGAAUGUAAAUAUCACAAAACCAUCUGCCAGACAUUUCUGUGAACUUAAACUGCAAACAUUUUGGAGAAAAUACAUUAUUGCGAUUAUUUACACAUCAUUAUUGCAAAACAAAUAUAUUGUGAAUUCAUUUAUUAGAAGGAAUACAACAUAUUUAAUAUAUAUUUACCAACAUAAGUUCUUAAACAGCAUGAUAGAAAUGGGCUAAGAUCCAAUUCAUAUAGCUCAUAAACAUUCCCUUCCAGCAACGAUUAUUAUAACACAGACUAUCUAGAGGGGGAAUGUCAUAUUUUACUCGGCCAAAAAACUAUACCAAAACAGGAUGCACUAAUCUUUUGAUAAAAAAAGCGACUAGAACUUACUAGACUUGCUAAUUUAGCUAGAAAUGUAUCUUGCAUGCUAGCUACCAGUAUACCUAUCGAAAGAUUUUUCAAAGUCAAAAAGGAUCUCUUUAUGCCCCACUAAUCUCGACAAAAUAAUAUUUA